AACGAACGCUGGCGGCGCGUCUUAAGCGUGCAAGUCGAGCGGCAAGAGAGGAGCUUGCUUCUCUCCUAGAGUGGCGGACUGGUGAGGAACACGUGGGUAAUCUACCCUUAAGAUGGGGAUAGCUGCUAGAAAUAGCAGGUAAUACCGAAUACACUCGGCAUAUCACAAGAGGUGUUGAGGAAAGGAAGCUACGGCUUCGCUUGAGGAUGAGCUUGCGUCCCAUUAGCUAGUUGGUGAGGUAAAGGCCCACCAAGGCGACGAUGGGUAUCCGGCCUGAGAGGGUGAACGGACACAUUGGGACUGAGAUACGGCCCAAACUCCUACGGGAGGCAGCAGCUAAGAAUAUUCCGCAAUGGACGGAAGUCUGACGGAGCGACGCCGCGUGGAUGAAGAAGGCUGAAAAGUUGUAAAAUCCUUUUGUUGAUGAAGAAUAAGGGUGAGAGGGAAUGCUCAUCUGAUGACGGUAAUCGACGAAUAAGCCCCGGCUAAUUACGUG
rnacentral:rRNA from 1 species